UAACCGGAGCAUGAGAUCAAUUGGCAUUUGAGCCAGGCAGAAGCCAGGCAGCUUACAAACCUCUCUCCCAGGAGAUACUGUCAGAGAUGUCACUACCAUCAGCAGCUGAGCAGUUUGAUGCAUUGUGUGGUGGAGGUGCGACCUGCACCCUCAGCCUACAGUGGUGAGAUGCUUGCACACAGGAACCACUCCUAUGCCCGGCUAAUACACAGAAGUCUCCAAUGGCAGACCAUGUGUCUGAGCCUCAAGAGCUCGCUGCCUAAGUGAGGUGGACAAUGUGAGCUUUCCUUCAUCUGUUUCCGUGCAACAUUAGUCCGUGUAGUGCAAGCCAGUCUGAACAGUAGGUUAAGCUAAAACAGAUGACUUUGCCCUUCCUCAGCUGAGGAGCAGUGCACCAGUGUUGUGGGCUGUCAUACAAAUUCCAGCAGAAGCACUGUUACAAGUAGGUGUUGAGUGCAAACAUCCUAAAAUAUUUCCUAGUCACUUGCAAAGUGAACUUCGCUCUCAGUGGCAAAGAUCAUUUAGUCCACGGCAUGGAGGGGUCAUCCACGCAGGAUCCUGCACGGUUAUCCGACAGCAAAGAUUGUUCAGAGCCCAUAUGGACGUUCUCCACAACCAGCUAGGUUCUGCACAACCAGCACUUCUCCUAGAUCAUCUAACAAUCCAAGCAUGCCUUCAGCCCUGAUGUGCUCCCAACAUGAAUGCUGAGAACAUGGAAAUCUAGAACAUCUGACAACCAUCCUUCUGGCUGCUACCUUCGCUACUGACAUAACUCCAUCUGCUUAGCCACAGCCUACAGUGCCUCUGGAUGGGUCACAGAAAACCCACUGUUGAGGAAACAGCCCCAUCUUACUCAUUUCUACUUGUUGCCACUCUGCCUUUGCAGUGCACACCUCUACCUUAAGAGGAAGUCACUCGUGCUCUGUAACUGCAAUGGGAAGAGUUUCUUACGUCUACUUGUUCUGGGGCAACAACACAAGUGUUUCUCACUGAGAUUUCACUCUGCUUGGAAAUAAUGUCAGCCAGCUGCAAGAAGUGGGAGCUAGAGCAACCAGAGACUGUGCUGGGAGUCUGGAAGGAGGAACCCAAGGCCAGCUCAGUGCUUUAAAGGAAGAAGAAUACAUCAGAGGCAUCCAAGACAGCUGGAGAUGACCUGCUUCAAGGCAGGAGCUGGAAUGCCAUCCUUCCCAUGGGAACACAGGAGACACGAGCAGUGGCAUCACUCAGCCUGUCUAGCAGCCAGAUUGCUUCUUUAAGUUUUCUGCCCCCAUAAACCAAGUUGAGUGAAUGUUGCCCAAGCACCCCAGUACUGUUUUGAUGCGCAAUACUGAAAACCAAAAAAAACGUAAAACCAUGACAGUUGCUUCUUACAAGUCAUCCUCAUGAUGUUCUCCAAGCACUUCUCCCCAACAGAAACUUACCAUUCAGCCUAAGUAAGAUUAAAUAAGUUUGAAACCCUCAGGCCUCUGAUCCUUCUCAGCCCUGGCUGCACUGUGUAUCAAUAGAUGCUGGCAUUUGAACUCCCUUUUCUUCAGAGUCUCAUUGGCAGGGAAGAGAGGUCCUCAUGCCUGAGGGUCCAUAGUGGCGUUCUGAAUUUGAUAUUUUCGAAGUUAUUCUCAUGUGAACACACUGCUGGAGGAGGAGGAGAGACAAAAUCAAUUGUACAGAUCAAUACCUGUACUGAUGUGUUUCCUGGUGACAGGCCAGAUGGCCAAUUGAUGGUAAACAAAGUCUGAGCAAAGUCUGGACACAGCAAGAGGUUCCAGAUGGGAACCAGAAGUUUAGAGCUCAUCAGAGCCAUCUCCACGCAUGCAUUGCAGGCACCAAACACUAAUAAAUGAUUGACAGAGCUGUUGUGCAUUAGCCUCAAGCUUUCGGAUCUCUCCCACUGUUUCUGGAUAAUUAAAAAUAAAAAUAAAAAUAAAUAAAAGAUGAGAGAGAUUUCUUCUCCUUUUGGAGAAAUUAAUUAGAUCUUCAGCUCUUUACAAUACUAAGAGCCCUUUUUCCCAUUCCCUAAAUUCUUCAGACUGCAGAUCAGUCCAUUCAUUUGAAGACUGCUCAAAGAGUUCCUUCCCUUCAGAGUCUAUCCAAAGUAUUAAGCAUCCAACUCUUCCCUGAGGCUCUACAGAAUAACACAGUAAGUCCUUUCCUCCUUUUGUACUCUAAAUGAUCUUUUAUCUUAAAUUUCUCAGCUUUUCAGAAUAUAUGAAAGGGAUAUGAAGCCUGGACAUGUAAGCUAUUGUUCACAACGAAGAGCUGAUGUAAGGAAAUUACUUGGACUUAUUGCCUCCCUUAGACUCCACUCCUGCUUUUCCACUUUCUCUUCACUUUCUGUAUAUUUCAGCUGCUGAUAAUCUGAACAUUCAUCUGCUUCUUCUGUCUCUUGGUCCAUUUUCCCUGUGUUCAGAUGUAUUUGUACUACCUUGGGUGCUGCAUGUUCUUUUCCAUGGGGCAGUCACACUGUGAGGCCUGUAACAGACUGAAGGGAAAAAAGGUUUACCUCUUGGAGAGCCUCCAUCUGCUUUGUCAGGAACAGCUCUAGCUUUCAAUAAUGGCCUGAAAUUGGUGGGACUCCAAUAUCCAACUAUGUCCAGAUAUAGCUGUGAGAAUCAUUCUUUGUGGGUUUUGUUUUUGGUCAAAGCUUGCUUCCUGAGGUAUUUCUUGUGAUAAGACUCUAACUGAUUUAUUGAAGAAGCAAGUGAUGGGUGCUACCAUGUGACAAUCAACAUCACUUUGUGGACAUUCGAAAGCACCUUUCUUCAGAGAUGUCUGCCUUCCUAAGAGAGAGCUCAGGAGUAUUUACUGGCAGAAGAUCUGGCCUGUGACUAAAUAGCUCCAGAUUGGUAUGGGAAAACUGGGGAAUGAUACCAUCGUGUCCUGUGAAAAACAGGAUGCAGGUGAGCAUCCCUGCUCCCUUUUAUCUGCUGGCAAGGCCUGGAAGAUGGGAAUAAAGGAAUUUCUGCUGAGAUCCCAGAGCCAGAAGCUGCCACUCCAAGGAGAGCUGACUCAACCACUUUGGAUUUGAGCUGUCACUCCAAAGAGAGCUGAGUCAACCACUUUGGACUUGUAAAUAAGUUGGUACCACCACUGAAAAGUCAUUGUUGUCAACGGAACAACAACACCCGAUGACCCACCACUACUGAAGAUCAAUGACUGAACUACGAACCACGCUGGAUCCAUGGUGUUAACUAUCUCCCUCUUGCUUCCUACAAAGACUCCUUGCUUCUAUUUCCUACCUUUUCUAUCACCCCCUUUCUUCCCCAUUACCCUAAUUCAUAAUAGUGUCCAUCCUCCCCUUCCUCAUCUCCCUGAUUUAGAUUUGUAAUAAACUGGUCGGACCAACAUUUGAACCAUUGUUUCUUAAUCUCACAUAUACAUACGUGCAUACAUAUAUCAGAGAAUCUCCUCUCCCUCCUAUAAAUUGGAAUGAGACAAUAGCACAAGUGGACACACACAUCUGGAACUGAAGUUGGCCUUGCCACUCCUUUUCCAGCCUCCUCCUUGAACACAGACAUCCAGAUUUAGAGAAGAAUACCCAGAAGGAAGAGUUAUCAGUAGAGAAGACUUUCUCUGAUAUCUCAGCAGAACACAGUAGCUCUGCACCAGUGAGCUUCAUCCUCAUUCUCUGACUUUCAGUUCUC